GAGAGAUGCCAUGGAGCCAUGGCCAGAGUCAGACAUGUCGAAAUUCUGUCGGGUGCUGAAAAGUCAGUGUGGCUACCUGUGGAUGAUGGAAGCCGAGCUUCCAAAGUGUCUACACCUGAAGAAAAGGAGAAGCUCAGGGCAAAGGUGCUGUAGAACCAAGAACAGAAGCGACCUUCCAAUGGCAGCAAAUCUUAGUGGACGAGUGUGACUGCUGAACUGCUGUUUUUGCUAUGCUGUCUCUGUUGAACACAUCUGUUAAUGCUGAGCUGCUCCGGGCUUAUAGACCUGAUGAUCCCCUUGUGUUUUACAUUGUUAAUUGGGAAGAGAAUAACAUUCUUGUCUAUGUCUAUGUCAAUGACUCUGAGAUCUUGGGUGCUCCCAAGGCUAGUCAUAUUGUUCCCUAAGCAGAGAUGGUCACAUGAUAAUUUAAGUAUUGAUGUUCAGGCCUUGCAUGAUAAAAUAAUCACCAUUCAACGUUCAAAGUAAGAUGAAUUGCCCUCUUCCAUUGCUGCACAAAACUUGGUCAAGAUUUUUGGUCGUUAUUUUUCUCUCUCUAAAUAGACUUCUAAACUAUAGUCCGUAGAAAUGUCGCUGGGAAGCUUUUGCUGGCUAACUGGGAAACAUUAUAGUCUUUUUUUAAAAAAUAAAUAAAUGAUGUUUAUUUAUCAUGUA